UUAAUUUGACAUUGACUGAUAUGUCUUUGUCUGUCUUUGGUGAGUAAGUGUUUCAAGACAUAUUUGAUUAAGACAAGUGCUUUGGAUGGCAGUAUAUAGUAAUAUGUUGUACUUUACAUAUUUACGUGUCAUUAUUUUUAACUGUUUUUGAAGGUUAAUAGUACAGUAAGUUAAAAUAUAACAUAUAAAGGAUUGUGCUCGUGGGAGACGUUCUUGUUGGUGUUUGACAGGUUGUUAGUUUUUGACCACGUGUUUCUUAGAAAAGUACACGUGCAUAUAAUUUUCGUAAAUGAUACAAGUAUAUCCAGUCAACGCGGUUUAUUUUACAAUGUAAAUAUUAGCGGUGUUCCAUAAAGCGUUUCUUGAUUUUAUAUGGCAUCGUACAUGACGGUCCGCGUGUUAUGUUUGAGUGAGUGAUAUGAGCAAAAGAGAAACUGAUUCUAUGAUAAUAUUAUUCUAAAAGUGUGUGUCUGUGCGUGUGCCAGUGAGAAAUGAGAACACAAUAAACUGAUUAGUGAUAAGAUUGUAUUUAAAUGCUUAAUGACAGGUCAGAUUCCAUAAAGAUAUUUCUUAAAUUAUUAUGGAUGUGUUUAGUAAUUUGAUAUUUUUUUCUGUUUUAUAUUUAACCUGAAAUGAAUGGAAAGUGUUACCUGAAGGUAAGUGAAAUUUAUAAUAAUAUACAGUUCUUUGGGUAGUUAUUUGAUUCCAUGCUGAAUUUGUAUAUUUGUCCAAUGACAAAGAAAUUAUCAGCCUAUAAGUAUAGAUUUAUUGGAAGAGUGAGUUAUAGAAUUACAGCUAAAAGAAAAUCCAUUUCAAAGAAGUUAUAAAUUGAUUUGCAUUUUAUUAGUGAAAUGAUGAGUAUUUGAUUCCCUAUCAAUCUGGAAUAUAUUGGUUCACAGGCAUCUUUUAUUUAGUUCUACAAUUUGGUCGAUGGCAUUAUUGGUCAGGUGUUUGGUCUUGGACCAUAAUGGAGAAUUUGUAAUCUAAUUGAUUGCUUCUAUGGAAAGUUGUCUAUUAUGCAGGUAACAAGCUGAGAUUAAGAUAUUUCUAUUUAAGAGAAAUAUCUUACGCCUGUUUCACACAUACUCUGUAUGCAGUGCAUUUUGAAGUGCAUAUUUUUUACAUAUUUAUGUUUACAGGUUAGAGGUUUUACAACGCGUAUGUGUGUUGUCUGUCCAGUCUGUUGCAGAUCUUGUGCAGUGUUGAUGUGCGACUGUUGUAUUAUGAUAACUUAGUCAACUGUGCAAUUUAAAAAUUUAAAUUUUUCAUUUUUUUGACUUCCAAGUUCUGUGACAUGUUGAUAUUCCCUGUUUACUUCAAUCAGUUUUGUAAAAAGAGAAAGAUGGUGAUAUUGGUAACCAACAGUAAACAAAACAAAAGUAAACUAUGUCCAAUCACUCACUUAUUAGUAACAUAAGGUUAAAAAUGCAAAUUUUGACAGUAAUUUAACUAAGGUUUACUACAGUGUGACUCACAAAUGUUUUAUCUCAUAUGGCAACAUACCGUAAUAGCGCUAUACCGGCUGAAAUGUGGAAAAUAUCUUGAUAUGAUUUUUUUGUUCAUACCGCCCACCCCUAAUAUGUCAGAUAGUUUUCGAAGGUUUUGUAUCAAACGUAUGUGUAGUAUGUAUUCAUAAUUUUGUAUUGGUUACCCAUUUCACUAAAUAGUUAUCAUAAAAUGUAUUAAGUGAAUAAAGUGCUCAUAGAUGUUGUAUAAAGUUCAUUUGUGUUUUUUUCUGCAUUAUUUUUUUAGUAGAAAUUCAAAUCUGUUUAACAGUAAGUAAUGCUAGCAUAGUUUUAGUAUUAUGAAAGUUAAAGAAACCUAUUGUGUUAAAAUUGCUACUUGUAAUUGUUAAAAGUUCUGUUUAGUUACAAUAACAAACUUAUUGAUUGGUAAUUUGUUUAAAAAAAAUGUACACAAAAAAUAGAUGCUGGGUUGAAAUUAAACUUUACUUUGUGUUUUUUCAGCCAUAAACAGGAAAGACAUCAGCCUUAAGCAUUUCAUUGCACUUUGACAGACUCAAAAGUUAUUUGUGUACAGAAAAAGCUGAAAGGAGUUAAGGAGGAGAUGAAACAACAUGACUCCUUGUGCGAGAUGAUCUAGCUUAUCUGAGGGUCGAGAGGUCGGAGGAGGCCAAACACGGCCACAGGGGCCUAAACUGGGGGAGACAGAAGGAUGAGAGCGACCCCAGAAAUGUCCAAAGUGGGAGGAGCAACCAAUGCAUCAGAGCUCGUAUUACGCCAUUUGGAAAGGAGUAAAAUUACGCACAUGAAAUGAAAGAAGAAACAUCAAAACCAAAUCAAAUCAAAAGCAAUUCAAGUAUACCGACGGAUGGAGAGCAAAGUUUUGAGCACCGGGAGGAAGAAGUGAAAAAGAGAAAUUGUCAAAAGAAAUUGAAUUGAAAAGAACGAAGCUGAUUACUACAGAAGAUUUGCAUUGCUACAGUCAAUUAAAGAACGAAGCUGAUUACUACAGAAAAUUUGCAUGGCUACAGUCAAUUAAACUUCCUGGCGAUGGACUAUUGCCUUAAACGAGGCCCAGUGAAAGAUCUGUAACAAUCUCAAAGGAACAGAAUCUGAAAGAAAGACUGAAAACAUAGAGACAUUGAACUGAGAACAUAAGGUGGACAUUUUAUGGGAAACAUUCCAAAGAUAACAAAUGAUACAAAUGGGGAAUAUUUAGAGUUAAGGAAAUAUGUUUACAAAGUUGCUUUUUAGGCUUUAAACUAAACUAGAUUUCAAUAAUGCAAUAACAUUUUCAAGUCCACAUAAAUAGGGUGAUAAAUUCAACAAGAAUUCUUAUGGAUAAGAGAAAAAGUUAAGGUCAACUUAUCUUGAUAAUAUUUAGGUCAUUUGGGAAAAUCUGAGUUUAAAAAUACAUUUUGCAGGCCACAAUUUGGAUAUUUGUGUCAAUGGUAUAGUAACAAAACAUUAAAAAUAGGAACAGGAAGGAUAGAAAUUUCAGAAUGAUACAUACCAGAAAAUGUAAACCUUAUGGAAUUAUAGAAUUAGGAAAAGUCAAUAUGAAAUGCUUUAUAACAGGAAUCUUGAACGAAUCAACUUUAAAACUCUAGAUAUAUUAUGAAGACAUCAAAGAGUCUAGCUUAAGGUGUAAAAGUGAGAAGAGAGAUGCUAUAAGAAGAAUAGUAUAAUCAAAUCAGAGCAAUAUUUGAAGAUCAAAUAUAUCGAUUGGAAAAUUAUUUUGGAUUUGUAGAAAAAGAAAAUGUUUAACCUCGUUAUCAUUAGGAGGGAGAAAAAGGUUAUUAAAUAUGAUGGAAACAGGAAAUCAUUACAAAAGAAGGGUAUUUAGAAUCCUUAUAAAAGGAUGAACAAAACAAUUAAUCAUAAAAUUAUAUGUAGAUUCUGUCAAUCAACCAAAUGGGUACCAAAUUAGAUUAAGGUAUGGGAUUAAGCUAAAUACGGAAUUUAGUAAAGUUUUGUCAGAAUAAAAAUACAGAAUAAAUGAAUUAUGUACGGUACUACAAUCAAAAGUAGAUUAUUAAGUUUACCAAUAAGGCAUUGAUUUAUCUUAGGAAAACAACUAGAUGAAGCCAGUAGAAAUACAAGACAUAUUCUGAAUACAUUUUAAUCAGAAGUUAGUGGGUAAAUAAGGUGUAGGUAUCAUUUUAGAAAAAUCAAACAAAAGUUAAAAUAUUAGGAGGAUGGAAAAAUUAAUUUUAAAUCAACAAGAAUGGUAUCAGAACUUACGUUACAAAAUAGUAUUGAAUUCACAACGGGUAGAUAAUAUUCAAGAACCUUUGAUGAUGAUGAUGAUGAUGAUGACGAAGAAGAGGAAUAAGCUGUAUUUGUAUUGAAACAAAUAUUUCGUAUUAUGAAUGAUUUACUUUUUGUUUUUAUUUUCAGUAAUUUUGUUUUAUUUGCUUUUUGGUUUUCUUUGCUUUUAUUUUUGUUUCCUUUUAACUAUUACAAUAUAUUCUACAUAACUGUGACAACCAACAGCAGGUGUAGAACCAAUUGCAGACAUUUUUAAACUGUUUAUAAAGAGGGGCUUUAAGUUCUUUUACUUUUACAUUCAAAGACAAAACAAGAAUGGAAAGAGGUUUGCUCUUAUUGUCCAUAGUUCGAAGUGCUGUGGCAUAAUUUGGUAAUUGGUAAUGUAUGGUGGCUUUCUUUAGUCACAAGUUAGUAAUAACUGAGAAGGCUGAAUUAUGAAACUGCACUCCGGAUUAAAAUAAACAGGAAAAGUGAGGCUAAAUUAAGCCUCAGAGCGGGGAUUAUGGGGAAGUUUAUUUUAAUCCCAAUCUACAUGAAUAUGAGUUUACCAUUAUAAUCACAUGCAAUUUGUUUACCAUGAAGUUAUGCAGUAUUUGUGUCAUGUGUUAUGCUGUGUGUAAGUCAGGAGUUUGCCAUGGGAUUGCUAUUGCAACCCAGCUGUGUGUGUUUCAUGUCGAAGGGCACAAAGGGUUUAAGUAAGUGAAUGGCCAGGGUCAAAUAGGUCACGGGAAGAAGACACUGGUCUGAGGAAUGUCAUGUGGUUCCUGCCUGAACAGAAACAUAUUGUUUUAAGCAUGGAGGAGGGGGGAACCAAAACCUAUAUAUUACCAGGCCAUGGCUCAGAGGGGCAGACUGAUUUGGGGAAUCCUCCCAGGACUCUGGUUCUGGGGGGAUUAACCAGGGGAGUCUCGGCUUCUUAUUUUGUCCGGAAAAUAAAAGUCUAUCUCUUGAAAUCAAAGCCUAAGACUGAAGAUUGUUUCAUUGGAGGAAAAAGAAAACCACAACAGUGACCACUUGCUAAUAAGCCCAAGGGGGGACAAGGGGUAUGUUUCUGAGGGACAAUGUGGGAAACUCCCUGGCGGUGCCCCCAACACACGGGCAGACUUAUUGAUAGUGGUUUACCCAUGUCUAGCACAUACCACCUUACAUGGUAUAUUUAUAAUACCCUAUUCCCCUAAACAUGUGUAAUUGCUGAUGUAUGCUCAUGAAUAGGCCAACCAAUGUUUUUUUUUCUAAAUAAAGAUUCAUAA